AACCCCUGUGACAUACCUAUACGUUGCCUCGGCGGAUCAGCCCGCGCCCUGUAAAAAGGGACGGCCCGCCCGAGGACCCUAAACUCUGUUUUUAGUGGAACUUCUGAGUAAAACAAACAAAUAAAUCAAAACUUUCAACAACGGAUCUCUUGGUUCUGGCAUCGAUGAAGAACGCAGCAAAAUGCGAUAAGUAAUGUGAAUUGCAGAAUUCAGUGAAUCAUCGAAUCUUUGAACGCACAUUGCGCCCGCCAGUAUUCUGGCGGGCAUGCCUGUUCGAGCGUCAUUUCAACCCUCAAGCUCAGCUUGGUGUUGGGACUCGCGGUAACCCGCGUUCCCCAAAUCGAUUGGCGGUCACGUCGAGCUUCCAUAGCGUAGUAAUCAUACACCUCGUUACUGGUAAUCGUCGCGGCCACGCCGUAAAACCCCAACUUCUGAAUGUUGACCUCGGAUCAGGUAGGAAUACCCGCUGAACUUAAGCA
rnacentral:rRNA from 1 species